rnacentral:lncRNA from 1 species
CAGAAAAUCAGUCUGACUGAUGAAUGCAUUUCAAAUGUUAAAAAUACCAAAUUCUCCAAUUUUUCGUACGUUACAACAUUUGGUGACAAACUGUUCUACACACACAGAGACAAUAACAGUGUAACCUGUUGUAAUUACCAUGGUAACAUACUGUGGACAUUCUGUGAUACAAGUGUUCUUGCAUUGCCAUUCGGUAUAUCGGUAGACAAUGAUGGCAACGUGUUUGUAGUGGGAUAUAUCACUAACAAUGUGGUCGUCAUCUCGCAUGAUGGAAAACGUUACAGACAACUUUAAUCGCAUGAAGAUGGACUGAAAGGACCACAGGUUCUGCACUAUGACACAUCUACCAAAAAAUUGUUAGUCGCAAAUCAAAAAGAAACCGCGAUUUUGUACGAUGUUAAAUGAUACGUUAUAACAUUUGAUAUUUCGAGAACUAGAAUUAAAAAAUUGAUAUAAACAAAACAAUUAACUAACUAUGGAAGGUUCAUUAAUAAAGAAGUACAUGUUUAUUACAUUACUUGGACUAACUUUAACAUUUGAAUUAGGCCGUUUGAAGAACGUGAUGUAUACAUAAAUUUUACAAUAGAGCUAUGAAGUAACAAGAAUGACAAAUGC